rnacentral:piRNA from 1 species
UCGCUGCUUUGGAACCACUUCUCC